rnacentral:lncRNA from 1 species
CUGUGCUGCUCAAUUUGCCCUCAUAUGUUUCCUCUUUAGAUAACAUUACUUGUACAAAUUCCAAGCUAAGCUGAAUCAGGGAGACUCAGAGGGUCUUUAUGGUAUUUCUUAUGUAACAGAGCUCAGCUUACUUUAUUUGUGCCUUGCAUAUGGGGUUUCUUCAACUCCCAAGGGCUGAAGACUUGGAGGCUGGGGGGCAGUGGAGAAAACCAGUUGGGACUGAAUGAAUAUCAGCUGCUGACUUGUGGGAGAUAUGAGAAGCACCAGCAACCAUAGAAAAGCUGCAAUUUUCUAUUUUCCUUGGGUGACAUACCAAGGAAAGGAUUUGGGUGGAGCAGACAAUGAGAAAUCCAGUUGGGCUUGCAGCAACAGUAUUCAGGCAAUGACUGCAGCUGCUGAUGCUGUGGAAACACCUACAGGCACAGUGAGAAGCAAGGAAUCAACGGAGCAAUCCAAGGUUUGCAGAAGUACAAAAAAUACCUAAGGGGAACAAACUUGUAGGCAGGUGGGGAGACAAGCAUGAUAGUUAGAGUGUUGGACUAAGAUUCUGGAGACCUGGGUUCAAAUCCUCCCUUGAAGUUCACUGGCGAUUUUCUGCAAGUCUCAGUCUCCUGUUCUGAUCUACUUCACAUCUUUCAUGCAAGGAUGAUGUGGGAAAGAGGACCACAUAUAUUGCCUUGAGCAAAAAAGGCAGGAAAUUAAUGUAGUUAAUAAAUAAAAUGAAAGCCCAAGAAGGCCUGAGGAG